UACAGAGGUCUCAAGCGUUGUUCGGAUUCAUUGGGCGUAAAGGGUGUGUAGGUGGCGCCGUAAGUCGGGUGUGAAAUUUCGGAGCUUAACUCCGAAACUGCAUUCGAUACUGCGGUGCUUGAGGACUGGAGAGGAGACUGGAAUUCAUGGUGUAGCGGUGAAAUGCGCAGAUAUCAGGAGGAACACCCGUGGCGAAAGCGGCUCUCUGGGCCUUACCUGACGCUGAGGAGCGAAAGCGUGGGUAGCGAACAGG
rnacentral:rRNA from 1 species